UACGUAGGGAGCUAGCGUUGUCCGGAAUCAUUGGGCGUAAAGCGCGCGUAGGCGGCCCGGUAAGUCCGCUGUGAAAGUCAAAGGCUCAACCUUUGAAUGUCAGCGGAUACUGCCGGGCUAGAGUCCGGAAGAGGCGAGUGGAACUCCUGGUGUAGCGGUGGAAUGCGCAGAUAUCAGGAAGAACACCAAUGGCGAAGGCAGCUCGCUGGAACGGUACUGACGCUGAGGCGCGAAAGCGUGGGGAGCGAACAGG
rnacentral:rRNA from 1 species